rnacentral:rRNA from 1 species
AUUGAACGCUGGCGGCAGGCCUAACACAUGCAAGUCGAACGAGUGGCGGACGGGUGAGUAAUGUCUGGGAAACUGACUGAUGGAGGGGGAUAACUACUGGAAACGGUAGCUAAUACCGAAUACCAUCAGAUGUGCCUAGGUCGGAUUAGCUAGUUGGUGGGGUAAAGGACUACAAAGGCGACGAUCCGUAACUGGUCUGAGAGGAGGAUCAGUCACACUGGAACAGAGACAGGGGCCAGACUCCUACGGGAGGCAGCAGUGGGGAAUAUUGGACAAUGGGCGAAAGCCUGAUUCAGCCAUGCCGCGGGUGUGAAGAAGGUCUUCAGAUUGUAAAGCACUUUAAGUUGGGAGGCGUUACCAACAGAAUAAGCGCCGGCUAACUUCGUGCCAGCAGCCGCGGUAAUAC